rnacentral:other from 1 species
AUAACCCUGCUGUGUUCGUGAUCGCCGGGCUGGGUUUUGAGCCAACACUUAAUAAGACGGGGGCUGACUCUUCAGGCGGGAAUGCGAUAGCCUUCGGGCAAGGCAGACCCUCUGAGCAGGCCUCCACCUGCGAAUGCAGGUUCAAAACGAGGCGGCACACGGCAUGGCGGGGGCCCU